UACGUAGGGAGCAAGCGUUGUCCGGAAUCAUUGGGCGUAAAGCGCGCGUAGGUGGCCAUGUAAGUCCGCUGUGAAAGUCAAAGGCUCAACCUUUGAAAGCCGGUGGAUACUGCAUGGCUAGAGUACGGAAGAGGCGAGUGGAAUCCUGGUGUAGCGGUGGAAUGCGCAGAUAUCAGGAGGAACACCAAUAGCGAAGCAGCUCGCUGGGACGUUACUGACACUGGAAGGCGCGGAAAGCGUGGGGGAGCGAACAGG
rnacentral:rRNA from 1 species